rnacentral:rRNA from 1 species
GACGAACGCUGGCGGCGUGCUUAACACAUGCAAGUCGAACGGAAAGGCCCUGCUUUUGUGGGGUGCUCGAGUGGCGAACGGGUGAGUAACACGUGAGUAACCUGCCCUUGACUUUGGGAUAACUUCAGGAAACUGGGGCUAAUACCGGAUAGGAGCUCCUGCUGCAUGGUGUGGGUCGGAAAGUUUCGGCGGUUGGGGAUGGACUCGCGGCUUAUCAGCUUGUUGGUGGGGUAGUGGCUUACCAAGGCUUUGACGGGUAGCCGGCCUGAGAGGGUGACCGGCCACAUUGGGACUGAGAUACGGCCCAGACUCCUACGGGAGGCAGCAGUGGGGAAUAUUGCACAAUGGGCGGAAGCCUGAUGCAGCAACGCCGCGUGCGGGAUGACGGCCUUCGGGUUGUAAACCGCUUUCGCCUGUGACGAAGCGUGAGUGACGGUAAUGGGUAAAGAAGCACCGGCUAACUACGUG